rnacentral:rRNA from 1 species
AUUGAACGCUGGCGGCAGGCCUAACACAUGCAAGUCGAGCGGCAGCGGGAAAGUAGCUUGCUACUUUUGCCGGCGAGCGGCGGACGGGUGAGUAAUGCCUGGGAAAUUGCCCAGUCGAGGGGGAUAACAGUUGGAAGUGACUGCUAAUACCGCAUACGCCCUACGGGGGAAAGCAGGGGACCUUCGGGCCUUGCGCGAUUGGAUAUGCCCAGGUGGGAUUAGCUAGUUGGUGAGGUAAUGGCUCACCAAGGCGACGAUCCCUAGCUGGUCUGAGAGGAUGAUCAGCCACACUGGAACUGAGAAACGGUCCAGACUCCGACGGGAGGCAGCAGUGGGGAAUAUUGCACAAUGGGGGAAACCCUGAUGCAGCCAUGCCGCGUGUGUGAAGAAGGCCUUCGGGUUGUAAAGCACUUUCAGCGAGGAGGAAAGGUUGAUGCCUAAUACGUAUCAACUGUGACGUUACUCGCAGAAGAAGCACCGGCUAACUCCGUGCCAGCCGCCGCCGUAA